rnacentral:lncRNA from 1 species
AUAAAAUGGAAAACUUUAAUUGUUUAAAGCAAAGGCACAAGUAAACAUUUCAGGUUAUCAUACAAUGUUACAAUAAGAAAUUCCAAAAAUUAAAAUGAAAUACAUUAUAAUUUUGCAUCUCUAUAGUAUAUUUAAUGUAUUAUUCUAUCUUCUCUUCUUUGGAAUGAAAAGAAGGUAUAGGCGGAUCAAUGGAUGUAAUGUAAAAACUUGGAUUAUAAAUAGCAUUCACUCCAUUUUUAGUCAGAAAAUUUGAGUAGAAUGAAUUAAAUAAAAAUUAACUAAAAAACAUUGUUUCAUUAAUGACAGAGCAGCAAUAACUUUCAGGCUAAAGUUCAUUGUUUUAACAAAGUAAAUCACUGAUUUAAUGAAAUGUUAGCUGUUGAUGCCUGGUACUUAUAUAAAAAUCAAGCUGGCCAUGAAAGGGCUUUAUUAAGACACAAUUCAUAUACUCAUUUUACUUUAAAUCUGAACAUUAUAGUGCAUUAUGUAAAGAAAAAGAAGCAUGAGGAACCAUGUCAUUUCUAAUGAUGUCAGAAAUAAAAUACUUUAAAAGGUCUAGACCUUGUUUUCAAUCAAAGGCACUGUCUGGAGAGUAACAAGCUGCAUUCAGAGCUAAGCAAGUUUUUUUUCCUUCCCCAAAUAGCCAGCCAGUUAGUUGGGACUUGCUGUCUCAGUUAGUCAACAAGCACUGAAUGCUUACUACCUAUCAACAAAAAGGGUAGAAAUCAUGUAGUUAUAUCUUUGACAUAUAUUUCCAGGAAGAAAAUUUUUUUCCACUAAUUUUUUAAUAGGCUAUUGAAAUAUUUUCUUGGUCUGUAAGGUCUCUGUUUAAUCACCUCAGUGUAAUUUCCACUUUAUUCAAGUGACUUGUAACCUCUUCUCAGCAUUUCAACCCAGGAUGACAAUGACACCAGAAAUAAACUAUUCCAAGGGAGCAAGUUAUCCUAUUACAUCCUAAAGGCCAGGAAGAUUUUAAACCCUUCUAAGAAGUAUCUGAAUCCAAGAUCUUGAAAGAAAAGAUUGUUGUUUCUCAUUUUUCAUUAUUCAAAUUACAAGAGUCCCAACAGAUUAAGGUUUACUUAACUACUAAUUCCUAACCAGAAACAGUACUUAGGAAAUUUUCUAAGGAUAUCUUUCAAAGUUUAGAAUUGAAACAUGAUUCUAAAAGGAUGUUCAUACUUUUAAAGUCAAAUUAUAACAAUGACUCAAUGAAGCAUACCCUAAAGGUCAAUGAUGCAUGCUUUAGAGAAUGGUGCCAAGAUUCUGGAAUUCUUUCCUUUUUUUCUCCAUUUCCAAAGGCACAGAUAUCCUUCUGAAUUUUCUAUGGCUUCAAAUACUUCAUAAUCUAAAAUAGCUGGUACCGUCUCCAUUUUGAAUAGUUUUAAGUAUAGGAUCCACCAGGAAAUUUUAGGUCCAAACCAUUAGCUCAAUAGCAAAAGCAAAUCUACUUGAGACAAACUGAAGAGGUAAACCUACAUGUUAGAGUA